UACGAAGGGAGCUAGCGUUGUUCGGAAUCACUGGGCGUAAAGCGCACGUAGGCGGAUGUGUCAGUCAGGGGUGAAAUCCCGGAGCUCAACUUCGGAACUGCCUCUGAUACAGCACGUCUUGAGUCCGAUAGAGGUGGGUGGAAUUCCUAGUGUAGAGGUGAAAUUCGUAGAUAUUAGGAAGAACACCGGUGGCGAAGGCG
rnacentral:rRNA from 1 species